GACGAACGCUGGCGGCGUGCCUAACACAUGCAAGUCGAACGGGACCGGGGGCAACUCCGGUUCAGUGGCGGACGGGUGCGUAACACGUGAGGAACAUGACAUUCGGCGGGGGAUAGCCGGCCCAACGGCCGGGUAAUACCGCGUACGACCUUUCGGGGACAUCCCCGGCUGGUGAAAGCAGCAAUGCGCCGAAUGAGUGCCUCGCGGCCUAUCAGCUAGCUGGUGGGGUAAUGGCCCACCAAGGCGACGACGGGUAGCUGGUCUGAGAGGAUGGCCAGCCACAUUGGGACUGAGACACGGCCCAGACUCCUACGGGAGGCAGCAGUGGGGAAUAUUGCGCAAUGGGCGAAAGCCUGACGCAGCGACGCCGCGUGUGGGAUGACGGCCUCGGUGUAAC
rnacentral:rRNA from 1 species